AUUGUUCACAACUAAGAACAAAUCCUAAAUAAGAAAACAUUGGUGAAUAUCAGUCUUCAUAAAUACUGUGUAAGUGGGUUUAAAGAAGUAGUGUCUUCAAAAGAACAGUUGGCAAAUGAGGCCCAUUGUCUGUUUAUUUGGCAGCCUCAGUUUAGAUGUUUAGUGUCGAACUGAACUGGAGCCGUUACUGGCUUAUUAACAUAUUGUUAUAAUUGAUAUUAGCUUAUUAUGUUUGGAGUUAAAACCAGGGUGAUGGUUAGAGCUGUAAAUAAAAUCACAGCAUAUAGUUUUUAGUGUUUUAGCUUAGUCAACCAAAAAAGUAGUUUCUGGCUUUUUGGUGCUUUCUGUGUGGUUUCUGUUGGUUUCUCCAACACUUACACCUGCUUAGGGGGAAGUGUAAAUGUUGAAUAACUACUAAGUUCUUCAUUAAGUGUAGUCAUCGUGUGGUGCAACCCGAUUUGAUUUAGUUAUGCAUUAACCUAAUUUGGUAAAAACGUUACAGCCAGCCUGCAGCUGGUGCAACCAGCCCCAGGUAUCUGUAUCAUUAGGGAGAAAGUGGUAUCAGUGCAUCCCUCCAUAUUAUAUACAAUCCCCUUAAAUGCCACUAAUGCUGAUUUUAUGAGAGUUGCUCAGUUGCACUGCUUCUCACCUGCUGGACAAAAACUGCUGAUCAAUUUUCCUUUCCUGCUUCAAAUCGAUCUCUCUGGAUCUUUUGAAUUUCUCCUAAGCACAUUCUGUCUUUGUUGAUCAGAUCUCCCCCUCUGCAGUGUGUGGUAAGUGAGUUGUGUUUCUGCUGCUGUCAUUUCCAGAGUGUGUACCUGUGUUUGGUAAGUGUUUGUCCCUCUGUAUCUGACUCAUCCAGGUAUCGGAGCGAGAGAGAGAGACGUUGCUAGCUUGAGGAACACACCAGAACUGUGUUCUUCUCCAGGGGCUCCUGCAACAAAGAGAAGCAUCUUCUCCUGCCACAGCUUCCAGUCUGGACUACAGUGGGUCCAGACCUUGUCCUUCAUGAGUUCCUGGGUUCUCAGCAAAGAGAGAGGAGAGUUAUCUGCAUUUAGCUGUGGAGCAGCUGUGCCCUACUCGGUGUGUCUGCCUGCUCUUUGCGCUAACCUGGGUCACACUGCAGCACUGCUGUCGCAAAUUCAGCAAAAGCCCAGAGAGUAGGUGCACAUCAUCGACAUUAAACUUCAGAGUUCAUGUUUGGCUCACUUUUAAUUUAAAAAACCAAAGAACCUACAUCCGUGAUUGAUUUCUUAUUAGGUUAAUGUUUGUGAAAACUUUGUUUUAUCCUCGCCAAUCACAGGCCCGUUGUAACUCGCUCCUCUCACAGCUUUCAAAAUUAUGCGUUCCUGUAAGAAUGGUCACACAAAUUUAUGGGCUAUUGGUCCAUUGAUUGGUCAUGCACAAAAUCAAAAGACCAAUAGAAAUGCAUGUUUACAAGAAGGUCUACAGUUGUGUGCCAAUGUUUAUGCACUCCUGGUCAAAUAGCAUGGUUUGAUGAUUUUGUGAGAAAGUCAAAAGAAGUUGCCCCAACAUCUGCAUGGAACAAACUAAUUAUUAAACUAAAACAUCUUUCUAUGAGUUUUAAAGCACAGUUAGCAUUUAUUUGCUGAAUAUAUAGAAAGAAACUCAAGCAAAAUGCGCCAUGGCUCAGUUAGGCUUAUGACUGCAGAUCUGAAACCAAACAUAAUUGACACAAAGCAAGAGAAGACAAUAAAAGACGUCAUUAGUAAUUGGAAGUUAAAGGGAACUGUUUAAAACAGGAUAAGAUUUGAAAGACCAAGAAAAACCUCUGAAAAAAUACUUGUAGACUGGUCAAGCAUGCAAAGCAAAACCCCCACACCGCUGCCAAGGGCCUACAGGAAGAUUUGGCUGGCACAGGACUAGUAAUGCACUGUGCAGUGUCAUUAGACAAACAUCAUCUACAUCAAAGGGCCAUGAGAAGGAAACCUCAACUGUGAUCUCAUUAUAAAAGUCAAUGUCUGAAGUUUACAACACACCACUUAUAUAAACGAGAGGCAUUUUGGAUUAAAGUGUUGUGGUCUGAUGAAAAAAAAUAAAUAAAUAUUUGGA